rnacentral:rRNA from 1 species
AGAGUUUGAUUCUGGCUCAGGAUGAACGCUGGCGGCGUGCUUAACACAUGCAAGUCGAACGGGAAACAUUUUAUUGAAGCUUCGGCAGAUUUAGCUUGUUUCUAGUGGCGGACGGGUGAGUAACGCGUGGGUAACCUGCCUUAUACUGGGGGAUAACAGCCAGAAAUGACUGCUAAUACCGCAUAAGCGCACAGAACCGCAUGGUUCGGUGUGAAAAACUCCGGUGGUAUAAGAUGGACCCGCGUUGGAUUAGCUAGUUGGCAGGGCAGCGGCCUACCAAGGCGACGAUCCAUAGCCGGCCUGAGAGGGUGAACGGCCACAUUGGGACUGAGACACGGCCCAG